ensembl:lncRNA
CAGGAGGCUAAUAUCCGUUUACUGCCUCAUGCAUGUAUUUAUUCAACGCAUCAUUCAUCUCUUCCGCGGGGAAAAUAACGACUCGAGGUCAUCCCGCAUUCUUUAUUUGUUUAUCUCCCGCCCCCCCCCUUUCCUUUUAUCAUGGCCGAGGAGCGUAUCUGCCGGCUUCUCUAAUAUACAUGAGGCGGCCUCGUUCCUCGUUCCUCGUUCCAUUCCAGCGCAGAAGCACACUGUCUUUAUUAUUUAAUUAAGUCGGCGGGUCGUUACAUUAAUAAUUGAGUGUGUGAGGCCCUUUUCCUGGUGCAGAGUGCAUUAAAAAUGUGUGUAUUUAUGUCCCUGAGGGUGUGUGUGUGGUGUGGCUCGGUGCAUAAAAUUGAAUUGGUUAUAUCUAAUAUAUCCAGCCUCCCGAAGGACGAACGGAGAGACAACGACGAGAGAGAAAAGAGAGAGAGAGAGAGGGAGAAACAAACGGCGCGUGUCUCUCCUUCCCGAGACGAUCGAUCCGUGAUCCCACGUGUCUCUUAUCGACGUGAGGAUCAGCCCACAAUCCCGUAAUUACUAAAACGCAAAGUUCAUCAAUUAUAUAAAUAAAUAAGGUUCUAAUUAAACCGAGCUUCCAGAGAGAGAGAGGGAGAGAGGGAGAGAGAGAGAGAGAGAGGGAGAGAGAGAGGGAGAGAGAGACCUGUACGGCGGACGCUCUUCGUAAACGUGUAUCUAAACACACGUGUACGGAAGGAGUCUCCAGUGUUUACGCUGCCACGCCGUGAGCGAGAACGGAACAUUACAUGUAACUGUAAAGGGAUAAAAGGUACGAUGUGAAGUUCUCUCUUUAACAACUAAACAGUGUAAUCGUCACAACAUGGAGGCGUGUGGAGACACACACACACAUGCACACACACACACACACUCACACACACACACACACACUCACACACACACACACACGCACUCACAUAUACACACACACUCACACACACUCACUCAUACACACACACACACACACUCACACACACACACACACACACACACUCACACACACACACACGCACUCACAUAUACACACACACACACACACACUCACUCAUACACACACACACUCACACACACACACGCACACACGCACUCACACAUACACACACACUCACACACACUCACUCAUACACACACAUACACACACACACACACACACACACGCACUCACACAUACACACACACACACACACUCACACACACUCACUCAUACACACACACACACUCACACACACACACUCACUCAUACACACACACACUCACACACACACACACACACACACACACACACACACACACAUACACACACACACACACACACAGGAUAAGGACAGCCAGGAGUUCACUUCCUCUUAUCUUGUGACACUGAUAAAAGAAACACUGUGUGUGUGUGUGUCUGUCUGUGUAUAUGUGUUUGUGUGAAUGUGUGUGUCUAUGUGUGUCUGUGUGUGUGUGUGAGUGUGUGUGUGUGUGUGUGUGUGUGUCCUUUUUCUCUUAGACAUGGACCGAUCUACUCCUAGUUUUCCACACCGAGUGUGUAGAAUUGAAAUGUUAUAGACUGUUACUGUCAGAGUGUUAAAUGUGAUAUAUAGACCUGAGGGAGUGUGUAUGCAUGUGUGUGUGUGUGUGUAUGUGUGUGUGUGUGUGUGUGUGUGUGUGGAAGGUGCUCAUGGGAAAGCCGAGGCUAUCCAGCAUGUGUGAUGGCAGGGCAAUGUGGCGCGAGGUAAUGGCUUUAAGGCAACACACCAGAACCGUGUGUGUGUGUGUGUGUGUAUGUGUGUGUGUGUGUGUGUGUGUGUGUGUUAAUCCCUUUGUCAUCCGUCCCUCUUAAUGUGUGGAUCUAGAUGCAGUGACGCUUGCAGCGUGUGUGUGUGUGAGUGUGUGUGUAAAUGCGUGUAUGAGUGUGUACAUGUGUGUGUGUGUGUGUGUGUGUGUGUGUGUGUGAAAAGGUACAUGUGUGUGUGAGUGUGUGUGUAAAUGUGUGUGUGUGUGUGUGUGUGUGUGUGUGUGUGAAAAGGUACAUGUGUGUGGGUUUGUGAGUGUGUACAGGUGUGUGUGAGUGUGUGUGUAAAUGUGUGUGUGUGUGUGUGUGUGUGUGUGUGAGUGUGUACAUGUGUGUGUGUGUGAGUGUGUGUGUGUGUGAGUGUGUACAUGUGUGUGUGAUUGUGUGCCAGCUGGCUAGAGCAGGAGCGCAUUAAAGCUCACACUCACAGCAGGCACUACUGAUCUGAUAGAGCUGACGACACACACACACACACACGCACACACACACACACACACCGUGACACCCCACGGUGAGACGGCGCUGUGUUUGAGUGUUCCGCUCCAGACCCGCUUCUUUGCAUUCCUUUACUAAUUCUACAUGAAUAAUUAUUUAAAUGUAUUCGUAUUCACACUCAUUUGAAUAUUAAUGAGAUUAUAAUGAGAUUCUGAUGAACACACAGUGAGCUCUGUGUUCGUAUUAUAUAACUCUGAGUCUCGCUACAGGUAGGAGUCCAAACCCUGGUUCUGGUUCUAGUUCUGGUUCUAGUUUGGGUUCUGGUUCUACAUUGGGUUCUGUUGAAAACGGUUGGUUUGGGGUUCUCUUUAACAGAUCUGUGGUGUGUUCCACAUCAGGUGUGUCAGCUCUCUGCUCUGACGCUGCGAUGUGAUUGGUUCAACUUGCCACGUUACUUACUUCCUGUUUGAGGUUAGGCAGAUCAAUAGAUAGAUAGAUAGAUAGAUAGAUAGAUGACUUUAUUAAUCCCUGAAGAAAAUUCACACUUUUUUAUUUUACAAUAAUAAUACUGAGAUAUCGCAGGUAUUGCAAUAUAUAUGUUUUAAGUUUAAAUUGUUUUUUACAAAAAUAUUUACAAACUGAUCAGAAACAGUUUUGUAGUAAAUUUAUAACCAAUAACUUUUUUGUAGUAAACUUUAAAGAUGGUAAAAAUAAAUAAAUAAAUAAAUAAAUAAAACAUUAAAAAAUCCUCAUUGUUAAAUUAUUUAUUUAUUUGUUUAUUUUUAUAUAAACUUUAUAGAUAUGUUUACAUUUUUCUUUAAACACAACACUUUAAACGCAGUUUUGCAAGACGCUUCUUGGCCAACCUUUUGUGAUUUUUUGUCAUAUAGCGUAUUCCUAAUAUAUGUAAAUAUGUAAAUUUUAUGCGAAAGUGAGCUUCCUCUUGAAUGUAGCCGAAUAAAG